rnacentral:rRNA from 1 species
UGCAGUCGAACGAAUCCCAGUGGGGGUAACUCUGCUGGGGGAAGUGGCAAAAGGGGCAGUAAGGCAUAGGUAACCUACCCUGGAGUUGGGCAUAGCCGUUCUAACGAACGGGUAAUUCCCGAUGGCCCAGCGAGGAGACAUCUUCUUGCUGGUAAAGAGUUUCGCUCUGGGAGGGGCCUAUGUGCUAUUAGCUAGUUGGCGGGGUAACGGCCCACCAAGGCUAAGAUGGCUAGCGGGUGUGAGAGCACGACCCGCGCCACUGGCACUGAGACACUGGCCAGACACCUACGGGUGGCUGCAGUCGAGGAUCUUCGUCAAUGGUCGAAAGACUGAACGAGCGACGCCGCGUGCGCGAUGAAGGCCUUCGGGUUGUAAAGCGCGAAAGUAGGGACGAAAGUCGAAAGAUUUGACCGAGGGGGGAGUAAGCUCGGGCUAAGUUCGUGCCAGCAGCCGCGGUAAGACGAACCGAGCAAACGUUAUUCGGAAUCACUGGGCUUAAAGGGCGCGUAGGCGGGUAUCCAAGUCUAUGGUGAAAUCCGGCAGCUUAACUGUCGAACUGCCGUGGAUACUGGGUACCUCGAGGAAGGUAGGGGCAUGCGGAACUAACGGUGGAGCGGUGAAAUGCGUUGAUAUCGUUAGGAACUCCGGUGGCGAAGGCGGCAUGCUGGACCUUUUCUGACGCUGAGGCGCGAAAGCCAGG